CUCUGAAACAUGCGUGCUGUGUUUUUGUUGUCAACUUCUGUCUGCAAUUGCAUUAAAUAAAGGUUUGAUUGAUUUACUUAAAGAAGAUAUUGCCUGACUGCUGAUUUCACCAAUAAGCCAAAGAUUGACAAGGGAGAAGGAACAUACCACGACAGUCCCAUGGUGUUUAUACUUGCAUACUAUUGUUUGUACAAAUGAACGUGGUACCUUCAGGCAUUUCGAAAUUGCUCCCAAGGAUCAACCAGACUUGUGGAUGUCUACAAUUGUUUUUCUGAAGUCUUGGCAGAUUUCUUUUGAUUUUCCCAUGAUGUCAAGCAAAGAGGCACUGAGUUUGAAGGUAGGCCUUGAAAUACAUCCACAGAUACACCUCCAAUUGACUCAAAUGAUGGCAAUUAGCCUAUCAGAAGCAUCUAAAGCCAUGACAUAAUUUUAUGGAAUUUUCCAAGCUGUUUAAAGGCACAGUCAACUUAGUGUAUGUAAACUUCUGACCCACUGGAAUUGUGAUACAGUCAUUAUAAGUGAAAUAAUCUGUCUGUUAACAAUUGUUGGAAAAAUGACUUGUGUCAUGCACAAAGUAGAUGUCCUAACCGACUUGCCAAAACUAUAGUUUGUUAACAAUAAAUGUGUGGAGUGGUUGAAAAAUGAGUUUUAAUGAGUCCAACCUAAGUCUAUGUAAACUUCCGACUUCAACUGUAGAUUGCUGGAUGAUACGGUACAAUUAAUUGCAUACAAGGUUCAUAGUCUGUGUCUUGAGAUAACACCCAAGGAUGAAAAUGAAAGAGACGGAAUGGAGAUCAGCAUCACAUGGGCAUAGAAUGGAGUGGAUGGACAGUUCUUUCCCCAGUCUUAGUGUGUAUAUUCCCAGGUGGAAGCGGCACAUGAGGAGCAGGGGAUAACCGAUGGCACGGGCGGAAUUCUGGAGAUUGAGUAUACAUCAAGAUACCAGGCGGGGGUGUUGGGACAGCGUUGGUCUGGUCCACACACAGUACUCCUUACAGCACCUGCAGCGGUAAAGAUCGUCACGCCGCUCCUCGGUGGGUGCAUAGUUCUCACGUGAAGUGGGGUCCAGCUGCAUAAUGGGUGUGCUUGAAGACGUCAUGACAGAGGAAGCGGAGCUAAUGAGAGAAAGAAAGACUAGAUUCACUGUAGAUAGACAGAUGGGUUGGGUCUGGGAGCUACUUUAAACACCAUAGUUGGGUUGGGUUAGCUGCUUUAUUGGUUAAUGCAUCAUAUGAAAGGAUCGAUUUUGGGGUAAUUGUACUCUAAACAACAUUUUGGAGGCAUUGAUGUGAAAGUCAAGCCAUGGUUGAAGCCGUUUUAGGUUUGGUAUAUAAAGACCCGGUAUUCUCUGUAUGAUUCAAGCGCUCGGUCCGACAGUCAAGGCUGUUGGGCUGACGGUUUCAUCAUUGCAUAAAGAUGAUUGUUUGAAGAAAUGACCAAGUCUCUCUCAGUACUGAAUUUCCAUGGCAACAGCCAAUAUAUCUCUGUUGCUAGUCAGGAACUUAAUUGGUUCCUCUCGCUGGUGUAGUCAUUGUGUGUGUUAUAGGACUGUUCCAUCUCACUUCAUCUUACCUGACCUCAGGCCGAAUUCCUCGCUCCUCCCAACUCCAAGGCUGUCCUACCUUAUCAGUGACUGAAACCAGACUGUUGCCCUUUGCCUCCCGCCUUAGAAUCCAUGAGAUUUAACAAUAACAUAUUUGACAGAAUGUAAACUUCCUGCCUCCCCCUCUUGUCUCACUCAGUAACUUUCCAUACACUUAGUUCUUAUCCACCCUCCAUUUACCAGCAUAUACAGUACCAGUCAAAAGUUUGGACACCUACUCAUUCCAGGGUUUUUCUUUAUUUUUACUAUUUUCUACAUUGUAGAAUAAUAGUGAAGACUUCAAAACUAUGAAAUAACACAUAUGGAAUCCUGAAGUAACCAAAAAAGUGUUAAAUAUACUGCUCAAAAAAAUAAAGGGAACACUUAAACAACACAUCCUAGAUCUGAAUGAAAGAAAUAAUCUUAUUAAAUACUUUUUUCUUUACAUAGUUGAAUGUGCUGACAACAAAAUCACACAAAAAUAAUCAAUGGAAAUCCAAUUUAUCAACCCAUGGAGGUCUGGAUUUGGAGUCGCACUCAAAAUUAAAGUGGAAAACCACACUACAGGCUGAUCCAACUUUGAUAUAAUGUCCUUAAAACAAGUCAAAAUGAGGCUCAGUAGUGUGUGUGGCCUCCACGUGCCUGUAUGACCUCCCUACAACGCCUGGGCAUGCUCCUGAUGAGGUGGCGGAUGGUCUCCUGGAGGGAUCUCCUCCCAGACCAGGACUAAAGCAUCCGCCAACUCCUGGACAGUCUGUGGUGCAACGUGGCGUUGGUGGAUGGAGUGAGACAUGAUGUCCCAGAUGUGCUCAAUUGGAUUCAGGUCUGGGGAACGGGCGGGCCAGUCCAUAGCAUCAAUGCCUUCCUCUUGCAGGAACUGCUGACACACUCCAGCCACAUGAGGUCUAGCAUUGUCUUGCAUUAGGAGGAACCCAGGGCCAACUGCACCAGCAUAUGGUCUCACAAGGGGUCUGAGGAUCUCAUCUCGCUACCUAAUGGCAGUCAAGCUACCUCUGGCGAGCACAUGGAGUGCUGUGCGGCCCCCCAAAGAAAUGCCACCCCACACCAUGACUGACCCACCGCCAAACCGGUCAUGCUGGAGGAUGUUGCAGGCAGCAGAACGUUCUCCACGGCAUCUCCAGACUCUGUCACGUCUGUCACGUGCUCAGUGUGAACCUGCUUUCAUCUGUGAAGAGCACAGGGCGCCAGUGGCGAAUUUGCCAAUCUUGGUGUUCUCUGGCAAAUGCCAAACGCCCUGCACGGUGUUGGGCUGUAAGCACAACCCCCACAUGUGGACGUCGGGCCCUCAUACCACCC
rnacentral:lncRNA from 1 species